GGGAAGUCCUCGAGGUGCGAUCAUACCA
rnacentral:rRNA from 21 species